rfam:Schistosoma mansoni strain Puerto Rico chromosome W, complete genome
GUACAGCUGACGAGUCCCGAACAGGGCGGAAUGCGCGUCUUGGAU